CACUCCUGCGGGAGGCAGCAGUGGGGAAUAUUGGACAAUGGGCGCAAGCCUGAUCCAGCCAUGCCGCGUGAGUGAUGAAGGCCCUAGGGUUGUAAAGCUCUUUCACCGGUGAAGAUAAUGACGGUAACCGGAGAAGAAGCCCCGGCUAACUUCGUGCCAGCAGCCGCGGUAAUACGAAGGGGGCUAGCGUUGUUCGGAUUUACUGGGCGUAAAGCGCACGUAGGCGGACUAUUAAGUCAGGGGUGAAAUCCCGGGGCUCAACCCCGGAACUGCCUUUGAUACUGGUAGUCUUGAGUUCGAGAGAGGUGAGUGGAAUUCCGAGUGUAGAGGUGAAAUUCGUAGAUAUUCGGAGGAACACCAGUGGCGAAGGCGGCUCACUGGCUCGAUACUGACGCUGAGGUGCGAAAGCGUGGGGAGCAAACAGGAUUAGAUACCCUAGUAGUCCC
rnacentral:rRNA from 1 species